rnacentral:rRNA from 1 species
GAUGAACGCUAGCGGCAGGCCUAACACAUGCAAGUCGAGGGGCAGCAUGGCGUAGCGAUACGCUGAUGGCGACCGGCGCACGGGUGCGUAACGCGUAUGCAACCUGUCCGGCGCAGGGGGGUAGCCCGUCGAAAGGCGGGGUAAUCCCGCAUGAACCGGUAUUCCCGCAUGGGGGUGCCGGCAAAGUGGAGACGCGGGGCCGGAGGGGCAUGCGUGCCAUUAGCUGGCUGGUGGGGUAACGGCCCACCAGGGCGAUGAUGGGUAGCUGGCGUGAGAGCGCGACCAGCCACACUGGAACUGAGACACGGUCCAGACUCCUACGGGAGGCAGCAGUAGGGAAUAUUGGACAAUGGGCGAAAGCCUGAUCCAGCCAUGCCGCGUGAUAGAUGAAGGCCCUCUGGGUUGUAAAUAUCUUUUAUCUGGGAAGAAACUCCUCUAUUCUUAGAGGCCUGACGGUACCAGAGGAAUAAGCACCGGCUAACUCCGUGCC